rnacentral:rRNA from 1 species
GGUUUGAUCCUGGCUCAGAACGAACGCUGGCGGCAUGCUUUAUACAUGCAAGUCGCACGAGUAGCAAUACUAGUGGCGCACGGGUGAGUAACACGUGGGAAUCUACCUUAAAGAUUAGGAUAACUAUGGGAAACUAUAGCUAAUACUGAAUAAGCUGGAGACAGUAAAGAAGCAAUUCGCUUUAAGAUGAGCCCGCGGCUGAUUAGCUAGUUGGUGUGGUAAGAGCGUACCAAGGCAAUGAUCAGUAGCUGUUCUGAGAGGAAGAUCAGCCACACUGGGACUGAGACACGGCCCAGACUCCUACGGGAGGCAGCAGUAGGGAAUUUUGGACAAUGGGGGCAACCCUGAUCCAGCAAUGUCGCGUGAGUGAAGAAGGCCUUCGGGUUGUAAAGCUCUUUUAUUGAUGAAGAUGAUGACGGUAAUCAAAGAAUAAGUCCCGGCAAACUUCGUGCCAGCAGCCGCGGUAAUACGAAGGGGACUAGCGUUGUUCGGAAUCACUGGGCGUAAAGCGCAAGUAGGUUGCUGAUUAAGUCAGGUGUGAAAUCCUCACUCUUAAGGUGAGAACUGCACUUGAAACUGGACAGCUAGAGAACAGAAGGGGAUAGUGGAAUUCCAAGUGUAGCAGUGAAAUGCGUAGAUAUUUGGAGGAACACCAGUAGCGAAGGCGUCUAUCUGGUCUGUAACUGACACUGAGUUGCGAAAGUAUGGGGAGCAAACAGGAUUAGAUACCCUGGUAGUCCAUACUGUAAACGAUGAGUGCUAAACGUUGGCCUUUAGGGGUCAGUGUUUGAGCUAACGCAUUAAGCACUCCGCCUGAGUAGUACGGUCGCAAGAUUAAAACUCAAAGGAAUUGACGGGGANCCGCACAAGCGGUGGAGCAUGUGGUUUAAUUCGAAGANACNCGAAAAACCUUACCAGGGCUUGACAUAAUAGUAGAGAUUGGAAGANAUUACNAUUGCAUUUAGUUGGNCUAUNACAGGUGCUGCAUGGC